AGUGAACGCUGGCGGCAGGCCUAAUACAUGCAAGUCGAACGGCAGCACAGCAGAGCUUGCUCUGUGGGUGGCGAGUGGCGGACGGGUGAGGAAUACGUGGGAAUCUGCCCAGUCGUGGGGGAUAACGUAGGGAAACUUACGCUAAUACCGCAUGCGCCCUUCGGGGAAAGCCGGGGACCUUCGGGCCUGGCGCGAUUGGAUGAGCCCACGUCGGAUUAGCUAGUUGGCGGGGUAAAGGCCCACCAAGGCGACGAUCCGUAGCUGGUCUGAGAGGAUGAUCAGCCACACUGGAACUGAGACACGGUCCAGACUCCUACGGGAGGCAGCAGUAGGGAAUAUUGGACAAUGGGCGCAAGCCUGAUCCAGCCAUGCCGCGUGAGUGAAGAAGGCCCCUCGGGUUGUAAAGCUCUUUUGUCCGGAAAGAAAAGCGCCGGGUUAAUACCCUGGUGUCCUGACGGUACCGGAAGAAUAAGCACCGGCUAACUUCGUGCCAGCAGCCGCGGUAAU
rnacentral:rRNA from 1 species